rnacentral:tRNA from 1 species
GCCGACGUAGCUCAGUUGGUAGAGCAGCUGUUUCGUAAACAGCAGGUCUGGAGUUCGAACCUCCACGUCGGCUCCA